GACGAACGCUGGCGGCGUGCCUAACACAUGCAAGUCGAGCGAAGAGGAGGGAGCUUGCUUCCGAAUCUUAGCGGCGGACGGGUGAGUAACGCGUGAGCAAUCUGCCUCAGACAGGGGAUAACGCAUCGAAAGAUGUGCUAAUACCGCGUAAGACCACAGCACCGCAUGGUGCAGGGGUCAAAGGAGCAAUCCGGUUUGAGAUGAGCUCGCGUCCGAUUAGCUAGUUGGUGAGAUAACAGCCCACCAAGGCGACGAUCGGUAGCCGACUGAGAGGGUGAUCGGCCACAUUGGAACUGAGACACGGUCCAGACUCCUACGGGAGCAGCAGUGAGGAAUA
rnacentral:rRNA from 1 species